rnacentral:rRNA from 1 species
UACGUAGGGGGCAAGCGUUGUCCGGAAUCAUUGGGCGUAAAGCGCGUGUAGGCGGUUCGGUAAGUCUGCUGUGAAAGUCCAGGGCUCAACCCUGGGAUGCCGGUGGAUACUGUCGGACUAGAGUACGGAAGAGGCGAGUGGAAUUCCCGGUGUAGCGGUGAAAUGCGCAGAUAUCAGGAAGAACACCCGUGGCUAAGGCGGCUCUCUAGUACGGUACUGACGCUGAGACGCGAAAGCGUGGGGAGCAAACAGG